rnacentral:rRNA from 1 species
AACGAACGCUGGCGGCAUGCCUAACACAUGCAAGUCGAACGAUUGCCUUCGGGUGAUAGUGGCGCACGGGUGCGUAACGCGUGGGAAUCUGCCCUUAGGUUCGGAAUAACAGCUGGAAACGGCUGCUAAUACCGGAUGAUAUCGCGAGAUCAAAGAUUUAUCGCCUGAGGAUGAGCCCGCGUUGGAUUAGGUAGUUGGUGGGGUAAAGGCCUACCAAGCCGACGAUCCAUAGCUGGUCUGAGAGGAUGAUCAGCCACACUGGGACUGAGACACGGCCCAGACUCCUACGGGAGGCAGCAGUGGGGAAUAUUGGACAAUGGGCGCAAGCCUGUUCCAGCAAUGCCGCGUGAGUGAUGAAGGCCCUAGGGUUGUAAAGCUCUUUUACCCGGGAAGAUAAUGACUGUACCGGGAGAAUAAGCCCCGGCUAACUCCGUG